UGAAAACCACGUAUGUCCAUUUUGCCGAUUUUGAGAUUUUUCGACGGAUUGAAUGUCCAGGUUCAUUUCCGUAUACAGCAUGCUUCACAUAUCUAAAUGGCCAAUGAAAAGUUGUGAAAUCAUGUCAUCUGAUUUUCACGUAUAUCCAUUUGGUGUCAAAGCUGUCAAUCACCCCGCGUAUCUCCCGCCCUGUGGAAGCAUCUCGCUGGUCUCGUGAAGUUUCAAGCUCAGUCAGCACUGGAUAGCCGAUUAACACUGUGAGGUAAAGUAUCAGCAAACGUUUGUUUUUGACAACUGUUCUCAAGUUUAUUAUAUAUUCACAACUAUUAUUUAUCGGUAAAUGGUCUAGACGAAUUAAUUGUCACCGAAUAUUUUUUUUAUUUUUGUGAACCUGGCUGACGAAAGUACGAUAUUGAAGCUCUCCACAGUUUAAAUUAGUUCUAAUCUAGUUCUUCACAGAUUAGUUUGCUUGCUAGUAUGUAAAUAAACUCGGUCUCAUUGAUAAGAUUCAAACUUUUUUUUUCUUAGUCAAACUGAUCAAAUUAUAGCCUGUAAUGCUACUGUCAUGAUUGUCAGUGACUAGAACAUGCCUCACUCAUACUGCUAUCACCGCUUGCCAGAGGCUGAAAAUGUCCAGUACUAGAGUUAUCUUGCUACGUUUUUAUUGUGAAGAUGUUAACGCACGGAUUUCCGAAGUGAAGUGAAACAAUGUUGACUGGGCAUAGCGCUAUAUUUUUUUCUGAUCUGUUUUUCUCCCUUCCUUCAGGAUGUCUGUCUCUGUAAAGGAGCUGUGUGAAUUGAUGAACGUCAACUAUGAUAGGGCUGUUAUUGAGGCGAUUGCGAGGGUCAACAAUGAGGAGGAAGAUUCACUUGAAAGUGACAGUUCUCAGACAGCUGCCAAUGAGGAUUCUCUGGAAAGUGAUAAAGAAAAUCAUUCCGAAAUAGCUGCCAG